CCGACCUUAGCUCAGUUGGUAGAGCGGAGGACUGUAGUGGGAUGUUAAAUCCUGAUGUUAUCCUUAGGUCGCUGGUUCGAAUCCGGCAGGUCGGA
rnacentral:tRNA from 1 species